AAUCAACAUUAAAAAAUAAAAUAAAACAGACAUAUCCUAAAAAGUAUGGUGGUCAGCAAAUAUUUACAUUAAAAGAAGAAGACAUGUUUAAGGCAUAUGCAAUAAAAUCAUCUGAGUUUGGUUUUCCUGUUGAUAAAUAUGAUUUAAGAUGCAUAGUAAAAGGGUAUUUAGAGAAAGAGACGUCAGUUCAAAAAUAAUUUUUCUUGUAGCGAUUGGAUUCGAUCUUUUUUAAAAAGAAAUCCAGAACUCACACUAAGAUUUGCAAGCAACAUAAAGUGAAAGAGAGCAGAAAUAGGAACGACUGUGAUUGAUAACUACUUUAUAAAUCUAUCAAAUGAAAUAAGUAAUAUAUCGCCUGAUAAUAUAUGGAAUUAUGAUGAAACCAAUCUCAGUGAUGAUCUAGGUAAAAAAAAAAGUAUUAACAAAGCGUGGAUGUAAGUAUCCUGAACGCAUCAUUAAUUCUACAAAGACCUCAUUCUCUGUAAUUAUUUGUGGCAAUGCUAAUGGUGAAUUGCUACUACCUUAUGUUGUUUACAAAGCUGCUUCCAAGACUUAAAAAGACUCAAGGAAGAAGUGUCAUUAUAGGUGAUAACGUAUUUUCACAUUUGAGCAUUGCAGUACUUCACAUUUGAGCAUUGCAGUAACGUAUCUUCACAUUUGAGCAUUACAGUACUUUGUCAAAGCAAUAACAUAGGAUUUGUGGCAUUACCAGCAAACUUUACACAUCUCACGCAGCCAUUAGAUGUUGUCUACUUUAGACCUAUGAAGAUUAACUGGCGCAAAAUAUUAUGUGAAUGAAAGGAGAAAGGAAAAGGAAGGAGAGUUGCCUCACUUCCUAAAGAUGAAUCUCUUAGACUUUUAGACCGUGUAAUUACCAACUUAAAUUAACAUGGGAAUGAUAACCUUAGAGCUGGUUUUCGCAAAACUGGAAUUUUUUCAUUAGACAAGUCUCAAUUGCUUUCACGACUACUAUGUUGUAAUGUAGGUUUAGACUCAGCUACUGAUUUAGUAAGACAAUCAUUUUUAGACCAUUUAUGUAAGUCACUGGAUGAUCCCUCAGAUGGUUCUAAAAAACAAAGCAACGUAAAGUAUGUCCCAGGUAAAAGCUUAUGUUCAACAGAUAUAUCAUCUUGUAUUAUAAAUGAAAAUAAUAGACUAAAUUCAAAUAAUGUAGAAUUGUUGGUCUCAAUUGUAUUUAUUAUAAAUACAAUUGAGACCAACAACAUUGACUUUGCUGGCCCAAGUACAAAUACUGGAACUACUGAGACUUCUAAUCUAAUUUUUGCAGAUGUAAGUUUAGUUGUAGAAAGUCAUACAGAAUCUUUAGAUCAUUCAGCAUUAAGCAAAAUAACUUUCAAAAUAUUGAUAAAACAAAAAAUGUUUGUAAAAAGGAGAAAUUAUUAAAUCUUGUAGAGAAUUGUUAUGUAGUUGUUAAAUGCAUUGGAGAGUUAAAUCCUGGACAGUUGGAAAAAUUAAGAAAAAAUGGAGCAGAAAUUACUAUAAUGAAAAAAAAUGGACUUAACUGGAAAUGGUCACUACCAGCAGAGCAACUUUUUUUUCCUCAGUCUGAAAUAGUCGAUUUUAUUGAGGAACCAAAGAAAAUUUCAAAAAGAGGAAUUUAUUCAGUUCCAGAACUUUUUCAAUAAAUUUUUUGAAACAUUA